rnacentral:sRNA from 1 species
UUGGCAACCCUGGACACUUUAUCUACAAAACAAGCACAGACCAGGCACUGGCAAUGGAAGCUUCUGCCAUGCUGCUGUCUGCUGAAUUGCCUCCACCCUGUCCUGAAUUGCCUCAGUCUCUGGGACUGAGGAACAGAGCAUUUCCUUGGGCUGUUCAGUCUUUGACUUUU